CUCCAGACCUCCUUCAGGAAAACACAUGAGCCCCAGAAAAACAUGACAGAAAUAAGAUAAUCCAGGGGCACUGAGGUGGCACAGUCUGUGAAGUGUCCGAUUCCUGAUUUCGGCUCAGAGCAUGCUGAGAGAAUAACAAGGGAUGGGAUAGGAUUGUUCUGUCACUGAAAUUCAGAACUGGAGGAUUCUACUACAGAG